UACGUAGGGUGCGAGCGUUAAUCGGAAUUACUGGGCGUAAAGCGCGCGUAGGUGGUUUGUUAAGUUGGAUGUGAAAGCCCCGGGCUCAACCUGGGAACUGCAUUCAAAACUGACAAGCUAGAGUAUGGUAGAGGGUGGUGGAAUUUCCUGUGUAGCGGUGAAAUGCGUAGAUAUCUGGAGGAACAUCAGUGGCGAAGGCGGCCCCCUGGAUCAAUACUGACGCUGAGGUGCGAAAGCGU
rnacentral:rRNA from 1 species